rnacentral:ncRNA from 1 species
AAACUGAAGAGUUUGAUCAUGGCUCAGAUUGAACGCUGGCGGCAGGCCUAACACAUGCAAGUCGAGCGGUAACAGAUCUAGCUUGCUAGAUGCUGACGAGCGGCGGAUGGGUGAGUAAUGCAUAGGGAUCUGCCUGGUAGUGGGGGAUAGCCCAGAGAAAUUUGGAUUAAUACCGCAUACGCCCUACGGGGGAAAGCAGGGGAUCCGUUCUUUUCGGAGAGUGGACCUUGCGCUA